GGGGUCAUCCAUUAAUUACAUCACACGUUUAGGGGGGGGGGGGGGGAGUCACAAACUUUGUGAUGUCACUUUAACUUCAUCAGUAACCAAAAUUU